AGAGUUUGAUCAUGGCUCAGAAUCAACGCUGGCGGCGCGCCUAACACAUGCAAGUCGCACGAGAAAGCGGGAGCAAUCUCGCAAGUACAGUGGCGUACGGGUGAGUAACACGUGGAUUAUCUGCCCUGGAGUGGGGAAUAACGCUGGGAAACCGGCGCUAAUACCGCAUAUUCCCGAGAGGGGAAAGCAGCAAUGCGCUCGAGGAGGAGUCCGCGGCCGAUUAGCUAGUUGGCAGGGUAAAAGCCUACCAAGGCUGUGAUCGGUAGCCGGCCUGAGAGGGCACACGGCCACACUGGCACUGAAACACGGGCCAGACUCCUACGGGAGGCAGCAGUGGGGAAUCUUGCACAAUGGGGGAAACCCUGAUGCAGCGACGCCGCGUGAGCGAUGAAGCCCUUCGGGGUGUAAAGCUCUUUCGGCAGGGAAGAUUAUGACGGUACCUGCAGAAGCAGCUGCGGCUAACUACGUGCCAGCAGCCGCGGUAAUACGUAGGCAGCAAGCGUUGUUCGGAGUUACUGGGCGUAAAGGGUGUGUAGGCGGCCUGUUAAGUUCCGUGUGAAAUCUCCCGGCUCAACCGGGAGGGUGCGCGGAAAACUGGCGGGCUAGAGUGCGGGAUGGGAGAGUAGAAUUCCUGGUGUAGCGGUGAAAUGCGUAGAUAUCAGGAGGAAUACCGGUGGUGUAGACGGCUCUCUGGACCGCAACUGACGCUGAAACACGAAAGCGUGGGUAGCAAACAGGAUUAGAUACCCUAGUAGUCC
rnacentral:rRNA from 1 species